rnacentral:rRNA from 1 species
CAAUAGCGUAUAUUAAAGUUGUUGCGGUUAAAAGCUCGUAGUUGGAUUUCUGUCGGAGACGCGCGGUCCGCACUAUGUGCGUGUAUCUGUGUCGGCUCUGGCAUCCUCCUGGGGAACGGUGCUGCGCUUGAUUGCGUGGUCCGGUAUUCAGGACUUUUACUUUGAGGAAAUUAGAGUGUUUACGGCAGGCAAGCGCCUUGAAUAUAUUAGCAUGGAAUAAUAACAUAGGACUUUGGUUCUAUUUUGUUGGUUUCUAGAACUAAGGUAAUGAUUAAUAGGGAUAAUUGGGGGCGAUUCGUAUUAACACGUCAGAGGUGAAAUUCUUGGAUUGUGUUACGACGAACUACUGCGAAAGCAUUUGCCAAGGAUGUUUUCAUUGAUCAAGAACGAAAGUGCGGGGAUCGAAGAUGAUUAGAUACCAU